rnacentral:rRNA from 1 species
GACGAACGCUGGCGGCGUGCUUAACACAUGCAAGUCGAACGGAAAGGCCUUUUCGGAGGUCCUCGAGUGGCGAACGGGUGAGUAACACGUGGGUGAUCUGCCCUUCACUCUGGGAUAAGCCUGGGUAACUGGGUCUAAUACCGGUUAGGACCGCACUUUAGUGUGUGUGGUGGAAAGUUUUUUCGGUGUAGGUUGAGCCCGCGGGCUAUCGGCUUGUGGGUGGUGUGAUGGCUUACCAAGGCGGCGACGGGCAGCCGGACUGAGGGGUUGGGCGGCGACAUUGGGUCUGAGGGGAGGCCGAGGCAGCGACGCGAGGGAGAAGGGGGGAAGCCUGCCGAAGGGACGCAGGCCGGAUGAUGAGAGGCCGCGGGGCGGAGGACGGUCUUCGGGUUGAAAAACACUUGCGCCAGGAACGAAGCGUUUUGUGACGGUACCUGGAGAAGAAGCACCGGCUAACUACGUG